UGUCACGGUGAAAUAUGCAUUGUACCUUCAAUGUUCAAUGAGACUGUCGUUACAAUUUAUUUAKUCUUUUAUAAUCGAAAACUGUGAGUGUUACUUUGAAUUUAAACUAUUUUGUGCGGUAAGUGAUUGGGCUKGGAGUGCAUAAACUCAAUUGGAAUUUGACUAAACAAUGUGGGUGUGUUGCUGUCAGGCAGGCGAGGCUUUUAAUCGGGGCGAGUUUUAGAACCAUUAUUUUCAUAGAAAAUACACUUUUGCAACUGCAUGUGACAAAUUUCGAUAAACAAACCAUCACAAAUGAUUAAAAGAAAGUAGUCAAAUUGUAAUGGAAAUUAAAAAAAAUACAAAUUACCAUUUAUGUACAAUUGAGAGUACCUCAACAGCAUCGACAACUUUACAUCGAAACAUUGAUUUAAUUCAGCAUAUUCGUGACUUUACAAGUUGUCCCAGUUCUUUGAAUAAAAUAUAUGUGUGAACCGUU